GGGGGGCAGUUUGCCUCUGACUGGAGAGCUGGAGCUGUGCCCGUGCCCAGGCUGUGGGACGUGGUUGUUGUUUGGUGGUAGGACCGAGGAGGAGCCCUGCGUCCCGAGGCGCGGAGGAGCGUGGCUCUCCAGAGCUAAUGGCAGCAAAACGCUUCACGUGGAGGGGAAAUUGCAAUCGUGUGCCUUCCCAGCAGACGUGAGUGCAGCAGUUGCAAUAAAGCUCCGUGUGCUGCUUGUGUUCCUCCGAUCAUCCGAGCAAGAGGCAGACCGCACGGGGAUGGAGAAAUAGGUUAACGGCUUCCAUGUGUUGUAGGGUUAUGGUCUGGAGGUGGAUGGGGACCCAGAGAAUGGGCUUUCUGUCAGCUCUAAAUCACAAGCUAGCAGGGAGGAUUGCUUCAGCAGGAGCGAAAUUGAGCUCUGCAUGGUUAUUGCGGUAAAAACAUCCCUUCCAUUAAAGCCAGAUGCCUCCUCAAACAAACCAGUGGGGAGAAAAUGGGAUGUAACAUCCCCUUGGAGCAGCAGGAGAGCGGUGAGAGGCAGCAGCUCGAGCCCCAGCUGGGACAGCCACCUGCAGCCCAGCGCCUCCACGCUGUGCUCAUGCCCUUAGAGGCACGCAGGCAUUAGGGCCGUGUUUGAGCAGCACGGGGAAGGGGUUUCACCCAGCCCCAGGUGAGCAGAAGCAGCAAGCGGGUGGGCAAUGGGGGGCACAGGACUGGGGGCAGCAGCACUGGGGUGUAGCUCUGCCUCUGCUGGGCUUGCCCAAAUGGUUUCAUUUAUCUGCCUCUCGUUUCCACCCCGUGUAAAACCCGAGGACGCGGAGACUCCACGAGACACGGGGAAAAUGAAUUAUUAUUUGCAAAGGGCUGCAGGUGCUUUGGGUGAAAGAGAAUGUUGUAAUUGCAAAGCAAUGCUAUUAAGUGGCAAAUUGGAUGAAACCUUUCACUAAAUUAACUGUGUUUCAAAACGCUGCAUUUGCAAAGGCUGUUCCUUUGUAAAAUGAAUCCACUUUUUCAUGUUUCUUGCUUUAAUCCUAGUUCUUAAAGAAGAUUUACAGUCUCAUCAAGUCCUGAGAGUCAAUGUUAAAUUAUUGUAAUUUAUUCCACAUUAUGUUACGUUAUUUUUUGCCACAUAUGGUAUGUUACAUUAAUUUAGCUAAUGUAUGCUAAUUUUGUGCUAAAUUUAUGUCAUGAGUCUCAGAUAGUAUGGAGAUUGAUGCCUUAGAAAUUAAUGUAAUAAUAGUAAUAAUUAAUAGUAAUAAUAUGAAAACUUUGGUUUUGCUGUGUUGGAACACCUGAAUACUCAAGCAGAGUUUAUUGCAGCUUUGUCGCGUGCUACCCCAGCUACUCGGAGAGAAAAGAAAGAGAUCUUGUCUCUUCUUUAUAGGGUCGUAUAUCAGUCCCAUAAAACACAAUCCCAAUUCUUGAUAGCCCCAUUGCAGCAAAAAUUGUUAGUCUCUGUGGCAUAGGACCUCUGAGCACCGUAAUCUUUUAUGCCUGUAAACUCCACAACAGCUGGACGUUAAAUCUCUGGAUUAAUUCAACAAGUUUCCCCCUGCCCAGUGACAGGAGGCUUCUUUCCCUGGAGCACGGUGUGCAACGGCAGGGCAGGGAUCUGCCUCGCUUGCCGCAUUGCCAGAGCCUUGCUUCUCAGCUUGCCACCAGAUUCAGCUUUUGCUGAUUA